UUUACUUGAUGUGAAAGGAUGAGAUUAUACAUUAUAUAAUAAGAAAACCAUUUUGUAACAUGCAAACGGAGAAAAUAUGAAUCAAAUUGUCAUAUUUGUAUAUGCUAUAAUCUUCUUUAUUUCUCUAAUUUUUGUUGAAAUGAUAGAUAUCCCGGUUUAUUGGUGUUUUACUAAGAAAGAGUGCCCAUUUGACAUGUGCCCCUUUAAUGUGGAUAUAGAAUGUAAGAACAACAUCUGUAAAUGUGUAACAGUGCCUAAAUAAACUAUAUCUAGUAAGGCUCGAUAAUAAUAUUUCAUGAGUUGUUAUUAAGUUAUUUUGAUACUACCAAAUAAUUUGAAUUUUUUCUUUCUCUAA